UACGUAGGGUGCAAGCGUUACUCGGAAUUACUGGGCGUAAAGCGUGCGCAGGCGGCUCGGCAAGUAAGCUGUGAAAUCCCAGGGCUUAACCUUGGACUGGCAUUUUUAACUCCCGAGCUAGAGUAUGUCAGAGGGGGGUAGAAUUCCACGUGUAGCAGUGAAAUGCGUAGAGAUGUGGAGGAAUACCGAUGGCGAAGGCAGUCCCCUGGGAUAAUACUGACGCUCAGGCACGAAAGCGUGGGGAGCAAACAGG
rnacentral:rRNA from 1 species